GGGCUGCCCUUGUCCUCCCUCAGGAGCCAUCCUUAGCCAGGUCAGCCUUCUCGGAAUCGGGCUGCCCGCAUGCCAGGAGGUGUGGAUGGACUGGCCCCGGCAGGUGGGCCUCAUCUGGACUGGAGGUCUCUGCAGAGGCCCAGUAGGUGCCCAGCGGGGCUCAGGGCCUUCACGAAGGAUGUGUUCCUCCCACGGAUUCUCUGUGCGUCGUCAGAGCAUUUCCAAGUCCAAGUUCACCGGAGGCUUUGUAAGAGGAUUGCUCCUGGCUGGGUGUCCCCCAUGUGAUACAGGGGGACCCCGCCCUCCUCAGGAAGCCCCUGUCCUCUCCAGCUUCCAAACAUAGAAUGCAGCCGCGGUUCCGCCCAGCCCCUCUUCCUCCGUGCACAAAGGGGAAUUGUUGAAAGCCAGCAUCGCAGAGAGGGUCAGAGCCAGAAGGACACAGAAAUUGAGUGGACGCAGCCACUUUACAGAUGGCAGCGCUGAGGCUGGAGCAGACCGUGCCAGGUUAUGCAGACACUUUCCCAAUGGACAAAGAUCGUGACGUCCUGUCUGCCUGACGUCCAGCGGAAGCACAGGGCAGGUCCCUGAUGCGGAUGGAAGCGUUCAGGGUGGUAAGUACAUGCAGAAUGAGGGA